CAAGCGGUGGAGCAUGUGGUUUAAUUCGAUGCAACGCGAAAAACCUUACCUGGUCUUGACAUCCACAGAAUCUUGCAAAGAUGCGAGAGUGCCUUCGGGAACUGUGAGACAGGUGCUGCAUGGCUGUCGUCAGCUCGUGUUGUGAAAUGUUGGGUUAAGUCCCGCAACGAGCGCAACCCUUAUCCUUUGUUGCCAUUGGUUCGGCCGGGAACUCAAAGGAGACUGCCGUUGAUAAACCGGAGGAAGGUGGGGACGACGUCAAGUCAUCAUGGCCCUUACGACCAGGGCUACACACGUGCUACAAUGGCGUAUACAAAGGGAGGCGACCUCGCGAGAGCAAGCGGACCUCAUAAAGUACGUCUAAGUCCGGAUUGGAGUCUGCAACUCGACUCCAUGAAGUCGGAAUCGCUAGUAAUCGUGAAUCAGAAUGUCACGGUGAAUACGUUCCCGGGCCUUGUACACACC
rnacentral:rRNA from 1 species